GAAUCUUCUAGCCAAACUCAACAAUUCACUGCACACUUUAUUCAUCCUGGGCUUCCUGUCUUCAGGCUUUUGCUGAAGGUAUGGCCAUGCCCUUUUCCCACUGCUCAAGGAACUACACUGUACCCUUCCUUCCAGCCUCAGCUCAAUCCCCUAGCCAUGAAGUUUUUCCUGAUUCCAUGAAGAACAAAGGGCCCCCACUUCUCCUUCAAGCUCCCUUGAAUCUGACCUGUUUCUCACUUCUUUGCUGAAAUUCUCUCCAUCUUAUUUCAAUGUCAUGAACCUGUCCCUCUUCCCUUUAGUCACCAGAUCAGAACAUCAGCAGCCAGGCCUAAUUGACCUGAGUUAAGGAGUCCAGAACCUGUACUUUAUCCCUUGCUUUGAAGGCAUGUCAGGUAUUUAAUCCACAGGCCAAUUUUCUCCCAGAGCACUGGUGAGGUCAGUGGACUGCAAAGUUAUCAUUUUUCUGUUAUUUUGCUCCUCUCCCUUCCCCACUCCCCACCCACCUUUUGCUGUGGAUUGAACCCAAGGGUACUACUACUGAGUUAUAUUCCCAGUCCACCUUAAAAAAAUUUUUUUUUAUUAUAGCAAUAGAGUUGUAUCUGGUAGUUGGUUCAUUUUGACAAAAUCACAUGCAUGUAAUUUGAUUUAGCAGUUUUUAGUCUUUGUAUCCCAAUUUCCUCCCCUCCCCUCCCCCUUCUCCCUGUUUUCCUUCCUCUAUUCAUCUUAAUCAUUUAUUUUGAGUGUUGCUUUGUACAUAUACAUAAAGGUGAUAUUUCUGGAGUUACAUUUAUAUAGGUACAUAAGGUGAUCUUGGUAAAUCAUUCCAUGUUCCUUCUCUUUCCCUAUCUCUGGGUCCCCUUCUGUUUCACUUAUCUUCCCUAUAUCUUUAUGAUAUUCAAUCCCCCUCACUGUCCUUUUCCCCCUUAAUUUGCUCUAGCUGCCACAUAUGAAAUAAACGACCCUUGAAUUUUUUUGAGUCUGGC
rnacentral:lncRNA from 1 species